AUGUUGGGUUAAGUCCCGCAACGAGCGCAACCCUUGUUCCUAGUUGCCAGCAUUGAGUUGGGCACUCUAGGGAGACUGCCGGUGACAAACCGGAGGAAGGUGAGGAUGACGUCAAGUCAGCAUGCCCCUUACGCUCUGGGCUACACACGUGCUACAAUGGCGCGGACAAAGGGUUGCGAGCGCGCGAGCGUGAGCCAAUCCCAAAAACCGCGUCUCAGUUCAGAUCGCAGGCUGCAACUCGCCUGCGAGAAGGCGGAAUCGCUAGUAAUCGCAGAUCAGCAUGCUGCGGUGAAUACGUUCCCGGGCCUUGUACACACCGCCCGUCACACCAUGGGAGCUGGCCAUGCCCGAAGUCGGAGCACCCGCCGAAGGCAGGGCUGGUGACUGGGGUGAAGUCGUAACAAGGUAGCCGUACCGGAAGGUGCGGCUGGAUCACCUCCUUU
rnacentral:rRNA from 1 species